GGGCGACGGUUGUCCCGGUUUAAGCAUGUAGGCUGGUUAUCCAGGCAAAUCCGGAUAAUCAAGGCUGAGGUGUGAUGACGAGGCACUACGGUGCUGAAGUAACAAAUGCCCUGCUUCCAGGAAAAGCCUCUAAGCAUCAGGUAACAUCAAAUCGUACCCCAAACCGACACAGGUGGUCAGGUAGAGAAUACCAAGGCGCUUGAGAGAACUCGGGUGAAGGAACUAGGCAAAAUGGUGCCGUAACUUCGGGAGAAGGCACGCUGGUGUGUAGGUGAAGUCCCUGCGGAUGGAGCUGAGACCAGUCGAAGAUACCAGCUGGCUGCAACUGUUUAUUAAAAACACAGCACUGUGCAAACACGAAAGUGGACGUAUACGGUGUGACGCCUGCCCGGUGCCGGAAGGUUAAUUGAUGGGGUUAUCCGUAAGGAGAAGCUCUUGAUCGAAGCCCCGGUAAACGGCGGCCGUAACUAUAACGGUCCUAAGGUAGCGAAAUUCCUUGUCGGGUAAGUUCCGACCUGCACGAAUGGCGUAAUGAUGGCCAGGCUGUCUCCACCCGAGACUCAGUGAAAUUGAACUCGCUGUGAAGAUGCAGUGUACCCGCGGCAAGACGGAAAGACCCCGUGAACCUUUACUAUAGCUUGACACUGAACAUUGAGCCUUGAUGUGUAGGAUAGGUGGGAGGCUUUGAAGCGUGGACGCCAGUCUGCGUGGAGCCAACCUUGAAAUACCACCCUUUAAUGUUUGAUGUUCUAACGUUGGCCCCUGACCGGGGUUGCGGACAGUGUCUGGUGGGUAGUUUGACUGGGGCGGUCUCCUCCCAAAGCGUAACGGAGGAGCACGAAGGUUAGCUAAUCCUGGUCGGACAUCAGGAGGUUAGUGCAAUGGCAUAAGCUAGCUUGACUGCGAGCGUGACGGCGCGAGCAGGUGCGAAAGCAGGUCAUAGUGAUCCGGUGGUUCUGAAUGGAAGGGCCAUCGCUCAACGGAUAAAAGGUACUCCGGGGAUAACAGGCUGAUACCGCCCAAGAGUUCAUAUCGACGGCGGUGUUUGGCACCUCGAUGUCGGCUCAUCACAUCCUGGGGCUGAAGUAGGUCCCAAGGGUAUGGCUGUUCGCCAUUUAAAGUGGUACGCGAGCUGGGUUUAGAACGUCGUGAGACAGUUCGGUCCCUAUCUGCCGUGGGCGCUGGAGAAUUGAGGGGGGCUGCUCCUAGUACGAGAGGACCGGAGUGGACGCAUCACUGGUGUUCGGGUUGUCAUGCCAAUGGCACUGCCCGGUAGCUAAAUGCGGAAGAGAUAAGUGCUGAAAGCAUCUAAGCACGAAACUUGCCCCGAGAUGAGUUCUCCCUGAGACUUUAAGUCUCCUGAAGGAACGUUAAAGACGAUGACGUUGAUAGGCCGGGUGUGUAAGCGCAGCGAUGCGUUGAGCUAACCGGUACUAAUGAACCGUGAGGCUUAACCUUACAACGCCGAAGAUGUUUUG
rnacentral:rRNA from 2 species